AGUGAACGCUGGCGGUAGGCCUAACACAUGCAAGUCGAACGGCAGCACAGUAAGAUCUUGCUCUUACGGGUGGCGAGUGGCGGACGGGUGAGGAAUACAUCGGAAUCUACUUUUUCUUGGGGGAUAACGUAGGGAAACUUACGCUAAUACCGCAUACGACCUACGGGUGAAAUCAGGGGAUCUUCGGACCUUUCGCGAUUGAAUGAGCCGAUGUCGGAUUAGCUAGUUGGCGGGGUAAAGGCCCACCAAGGCGACGAUCCGUAGCUGGUCUGAGAGGAUGAUCAGCCACACUGGAACUGAGACACGGUCCAGACUCCUACGGGAGGCAGCAGUGGGGAAUAUUGGACAAUGGGCGCAAGCCUGAUCCAGCAAUACCGCGUGGGUGAAGAAGGCCUUCGGGUUGUAAAGCUCUUUUGUUGGGAAAGAAAAGAAGCAGGUUAAUACCCCGCUGUUCUGACGGUACCCAAAGAAUAAGCACCGGCUAACUUCGUG
rnacentral:rRNA from 1 species